rnacentral:rRNA from 1 species
AGCGAACGCUGGCGGCAGGCCUAACACAUGCAAGUCGAACGAACCUUUCGGGGUUAGUGGCGGACGGGUGAGUAACACGUGGGAACGUGCCUUUAGGUUCGGAAUAACUCAGGGAAACUUGUGCUAAUACCGAAUGUGCCCUUCGGGGGAAAGAUUAAUCGCCUUUAGAGCGGCCCGCGUCUGAUUAGCUAGUUGGUUGAGGUAAUGGCUCACCAAGGCGACGUUCAGUAGCUGGUCUGAGAGGAAGAUCAGACACAUUGGGACUGAGACACGGCCCAAACUCCUGCGGGAGGGAGCAGUGGGGAAUCUUGCGCAAUGGGCGAAAGCCUGACGGAGCCAUGCCGGGUGAAUGAUUAAGGUCUUAGGAUUGUAAAAUUCUUUAACCGGGGACGAUAAUGACGGUACCCGGAGAAGAAGCCCCGGCUAACUUCGUG